ACUCUCGCUGGCGAUGGAGUCCGCCGUUAACCGCCCACCCUUGGGCUGAUUACCCCUACCCCACA
rnacentral:ncRNA from 1 species